rnacentral:rRNA from 1 species
AUUGAACGCUGGCGGCAGGCCUAACACAUGCAAGUCGAGCGCGCCCUUCGGGGUGAGCGGCGGACGGGUGAGUAACGCGUGGGAACGUGCCCUUUGCUACGGAAUAGUCCCGGGAAACUGGGGGUAAUACCGUAUACGCCCGUCGACAUAUAUGUCGACGGGGAAAGAUUUAUCGGCGAAGGAUCGGCCCGCGUUGGAUUAGGUAGUUGGUGGGGUAAUGGCCCACCAAGCCGACGAUCCAUAGCUGGUUUGAGAGGAUGAUCAGCCACACUGGGACUGAGACACGGCCCAGACUCCUACGGGAGGCAGCAGUGGGGAAUCUUAGACAAUGGGGGCAACCCUGAUCUAGCCAUGCCGCGUGAGUGAUGAAGGCCUUAGGGUUGUAAAGCUCUUUCGCCGGGGAAGAUAAUGACGGUACCCGGUAAAGAAGUCCCGGCUAACUCCGUGCCAGCCGCCGCUGUAACAC